UACGGGGGGGCAAGCGUUGUUCGGAAUUACUGGGCGUAAAGGGUGCGUAGGCGGCUUUCUAAGUUGGAUGUGAAAACUAUGGGCUCAACCCAUAGCCUGCAUCCAAAACUGGAGAGCUUGGGUUCUGGAGGGGAAAGCGGAAUUCCUGGUGUAGCGGUGAAAUGCGUAGAUAUCAGGAGGAACACCGGUGGCGAAGGCGGGUCUUCUGGGCCGAUACUGACGGCUGAGGAGCGAAAGCCGUGGGGAGCGAACAGG
rnacentral:rRNA from 1 species